UUCUCCUUUUGUUAACUGAAAACUACAGCCACACUCAUUUUUGAGUUUUUCUCCACUAUGAAACUCACGGUCAGAUAUCUUCGGGGGCGCACCUAUUUUUGAUAAAAAAUUUCUCUAACACCCAUAUUAUUUAUAAUUAGAAUUUUCAUUUGGCUUCUUUUUCCUUUGGGUCUUUUUUUUUGUCGAUUUCUUUCUUCCUUCAUCUUCAGUCUUUUAAUCAAAGAAGAAGGCUUUUGUUUGAUCAACAUAAACCGAUUUCGAUUGCUGAAGAACUUUGAUUUUCACAUGUUUUUUCUUUUUGAAAUCCAUAGGGUUUCUGAAACACAUCCGAGAUAUUCACAGGGGACGGAUCUAUUCGAGAUGAGUUUCCAGAUUGGUAAAUUGAAUUAUGGAAUCGAUCAGUCGAGCUUGUUGUUUCUGCCGAUGGAAACGAUGAAGAUUGGUAAUGGUGGAACCGUAUAUAACUUUUUAUGGUUGUUCGUUUGGCAGAGAAAUAUUUCACAGAUUUUCAGUUGAAAGUUGAAACUGGUCUCAAAGUUUUCGAAUUUCACUGACGGAAUGCGUAUUGCCGGAUAGUCUUUGCAACUAUGAUUUAACUAUGAUUUCCAGUACCUAACUAUUAUGAGACCAGGUGUGAGCUAUUACAGGAAAAAGCAGAUGAAAAGUUUCAAAAUGAUAGACGAACUUUAGCUGUCAAAGAAAAUUGGCAUUCGUCAUGGGUUCGAGAUCGGCCUGCCUUAGCUGGGAAAAUGUAACGACACAGGUUAGUCAUGGCCAUACCAAUUUUAGGCCUUUUUGUAGUCCUACUAAGAUUUGUCCAUGACUAUUGCUUAAACUAUAAAUUUGUCUUAACAGCAGCUGCAGUACUAUCACUUUCCAGGAUGCAAUUUUGUGUUAGUGUGUAGAUGAGCAAUCAGUUAUUAGGCAAUUGCUUUGAAACUUCUAGGAACUUUAACUUUCUUGUAUACAAUUCUCUAGUUUUGAGUGGCAUGGCGUUUGUAAUUUUUAGCUGUACUUACUGGAGGUUCUUCAGCGUCAUGAUUAUGAAAUUAUUGUCCUUUUAAUUGUUUCCUGAA